GUCACCAAAUCAUUUGCCAGUAGCUCUGGCCCCUCUGCUGGUGAAUGUGAGGAGUAGGAGCCCUGGCACUGAGAAUCUUCCAGCUUUCCUUGGCUUGCUUCUCCCUCGUCUACAAACUGACCAGCAGCAACUGGCCGGCCGCUACCGGUGACUGAGGGUCGAGGGACAGGUUGAAAAGAUCAGGGAGGAAGGGGUGGCUGGUGACGUCAGGAUGCUGAGCAGAAAGUUACGCCGGGCUGUGGCACUGUUUAAAUAAGAAAGGAGCGGGCAGUGGCACUGAGCCUCGGAGCUGGCACCCACUCCUCCUGCCAACCACCUUGGAGAGCGCGUUUCCAUGUGAGGGAGCUCGUUGGUAAGAAAAAGACAUCUCCUAAGAAGAGGUGGGAAGGGAGAGCUUCUACCUCCGCAAUCAGCAGCAGCAGCAGAAAGGGAUCCUGCAGUAGCAGCCGAACUGUCUAGCUCCCCUUUCUUCCUCCCAGUCGGAUGAUUGUAUCGGAAUGAAUGUAUAGGGCCACUUAUCACCGAGCCUGCCUAGUGGUAUGUCCCUGGGCUGAGCCAAUCAAUCCAGGGCACAGACUAAACGAGGCAGCACAGGAGCCAGACGUGGAGCUGACAGAGCGCUACAUUUGCACAGUGGUAGAGGAGCUACUUUGAGGAGGAUUGCAGAAUUGCAGCAGAUGCCGAGCAACACGUAAGGAAGCCCCCCCUGAACGCGCAGAGGCACAUCCCAGGCUACUGCUGCUGCUGCUGCAUGAGAGGGGGUCUCACUGGCAGCCUGUGCGAAGUUGCAGCAAAGAGGGGGUGGAUCAGAACAAGCCCAAGCCCUCGAGUGCAAGUAGGAGACACAAGAGCCGCGGUCUCUAUCCCUUGCAGCCCGGGGGCGGAAUGGACCUGCUAAGCCCGAGGAAUUGAUGGCCGCGAUCUAUUGCGCAAUCGUGCCUAGUAUUCCGGCCAACUCGGAGGAACAGAAAGCUGAUUCAUGGAUGUGCCCCGCGCCCGAGCACAGGAUGCAGCAGCCUGACACUUAUUGGCGUUAGCGCGGCAGCAGCGAGCUAUUUGGGGGGCUCUCGGGGAGCCUUGAUGCAUCACACUGGUUGGAAUUCAUUGCGUUACUUUGUGGGGAUUUGUUGAGUUGGAAAAAACGACAUGCAGCUCUUGAAAGCUUUAUGGGCAUUAGCGGGAGCGGCUGUCUGCUGUUUUCUUCUGUUUCUUAUCCACUCCCAGUUCCUUAAAGAAGGUCAGUUAGCCGCAGGUACAUGUGAGGUUGUUACAUACGACAGAGAUAGCAGUCAGCCACGGAGGACUAUAGCCCGACAAACAGCGCGCUGUGCAUGUAAGAAAGGACAGAUUGCCGGCACAACAAGAGCAAAGCCAGCCUGCGUAGAUGCACGUAUCAUAAAAACAAAACAGUGGUGUGAAAUGCUUCCAUGCUUAGAAGGGGAAGCCUGUGAAUUGUUACUCAGUAAAUCAGGUUGGACCUGUAUGCAGCCAGGUGGGCGAAUAAAGACAACAACAACACAAGGGGUGUGACCACUGAAGACAGCCUGAAACAGUCCACGCUGAGUGAGUAUAUGCAAGUUGGUGGCUAUGAUUCAAACUACUAAUAUGGGUCUCCUGACAAAAGCAACAUCAAAGCCCUGCAGAAGCAGUUCAAGCUUUUGAGAUCUUCGUACUUUAGACAAUUUCACUGCUGUGGAUCAUCAUUUUAUGCCAUCUACUCUGUCUGUUCAUCCAGUAUCUCAUAAAAGAUAGCCUAAUUUCACAAAAUUUUGAGCAAAACUUUGUCCAUUCUUGUUAAGGAUUAUCGGAGAAAGGAAUAAUGUGUGUUGACAUGAUAUAUGACCGGGCAUUAGCAAUACAGCUCAUGGUUAACAUUUCAUCCAGACUAGAUGUUGCCAACAUCUUUGAAUUUGAAUAUUCUACUAUCCAGAAGAGUAUUCGCUCCAAUCAGCCUUAGAAAGAAGACUGUUUUGUCUACAAGAGGACUAAAGUGCAAAAAGAGAUUGACUUCUAGUGUCCUGGACUUGCCGAAUUGCUUUUAUUUUCUUAUAUGUUGGAUAUAAAUACAAUAGACCAAAGAGCAAAGCAAAUGUUAAAAAGGACAAAACCCAGAACUGGGGCAAAGGGUACAGGUUUAACAUGAAUGCUUACUUAUGAUUUCAAAGGACAUGUCAGCAGUUACAGUGCUGGAAGUUUACAUUCCAGUGGACAUCUUUAUGGACAACUGCAGCAAAGCAUAUGCAGAAAAUAGCUCUUCAAAAGUACAUCUAUGAAACUUAAUGGAGCAUGGAGAAAAAAAAACAGCCUAUGUUUUAAAACAAAUUUCACAACACAAAAACUGUCUUAAUGGUAUCUUUAUUCCUCUGUACUUAGAAUGACAUUGCCAUACUAAAACUCAUUUUCAGUUUUAACCAGUAAAAUACACCUCUUCUACAAAUCCAUUUUGAUAGUUGAAAUUGGAUAAAAAGGUAUUUGCAAAAGAGCAUGUUUGGUCAUUUGUGGCCACAUUCUAUACACCCUUUAGCACCAGAAGGCAAAUUAAAGAGAAAAAAAAGGAAAAAAAAGUAACACUUGUUUGAAAGAAAUCAUUAAAUGUAUUUUGAAAAAAGCCUAAAGUUAUAUAUUUAACAGUUUUUAUAUGUUGUAUAUUUGUAGAAAAUCCUAUUUACCAAUUAACGUGGUAACUCUGCAAUCCAAGUGUCAGAGUUGAAUUGUGUUUAUUACUUCAGUUGUCUCCGAAGCCACUAGUGUAGUUUGCUUUCUUCCAUUGGGACGUUUUGGAUGUAAAGCAUGAGCAGAGAUAACUCUGUAGAAAAAGCAAAGAAUAAUGUUUAUAUAAUAUAAAUGCAUUCAACCAUUGCACUCUUGGAAGACAUUUUUGUUUUUAUUUUCUCUUUGCGUAUUGCUAAAUAGUUUGAAACAUUUCCAUGUUGCUUUUUCACAUGAAAUUACUUUCAUCCCUUUUUAAAAAAAGCGCACAGGACAAUAUAUAUAAUAUGGAAUCAUAUUGAGUUAGAGAGCUAUAUUGACAAAACUCUAACAAAACUUUGGUAGAUAUCACGUAUACAUUGUACAAGAUUUACCUCAUCUUUAGAAAUCUAUUUUUUUAUUCUUCAGUUUCAUGAAGUAAGCAAUUAAAAUAAAUUUGGUGUGUGGAAUUAAGGGCACAUGGUAUGAAAAAUAAUAAUCCCCGUUGUACUAUUCAGAAAUACCAAUGUGGUACAAAUUAGUGUACUGUCUUCCUGGCAGAUUUUUGUUAACAUAUAUAUUUCUUAAUUCUAUCAUAGAAAGCUAUACAUAACCCCUUUCAUUUAUUUAGCAUGUUUUUAGAUUUUCUUGAAACAUAUUUCCAUUUACACUGGGAAGUGUAAGGCAGGCUUAAAGAAAGUACAAUUCCAGUUUCUUGUUAAUAAUAAGAAAAUAUACAACACAUUUUCAAAAUACAAAGCCUGACCUUUAGUUCAUUUCUGAUCAUUUUCAUUUAGAGCUGCUGUUAUAAUUGUUUACCAUUAUCAUGCUAUUAAAUCUAUUUUUACAUAAUUCCCUUUUGUUCCUUUGCAUUUGGCCAAUAAUAACGAAUAUUUGAUUUGCUGGAUACUGCUUCAAUAGUCACUUCUCUAAACAAAAAAGACAUGCAAUAAAUUAUUUAAGUCCAUCUAGCUAUCAAUUCUGACUCUUUGUUUUGGCUCAUUAAUUUAACCCCUUUACCUCAAAGAGUGAAUCCACAGUUUUGUUAAAGUAGUAAAAUAUUAAUGGUACAUAAAACACAGCAGUAGAACGUUAGUAGUAGAAUCAAAGCAGGGAUGAAGGGGUUAAGCCACAUCAAAUGAGUGAGUUAUUUCUACUUUAUGCAUUCAAAAAAGUUUAAGGUGUUCCAUUUUUAUUGCUUUAAAGUAUUUUCUGUUGUGUUGGUAUAGCUAAAUUAUAAAAUAAAGACAAUUCCUUUUUUAUUGGGCCUUUUCUUCACUAAAAUAACAGUGGUUAUCAUAUAUUUGCUUCAAUAAAGGGGUCUUUGUAAAAAAUAAAAAAAAAUAAAACAGGUUCUAGAAAUGCUUUCAGUCUAAGUACAAUUGGUAAAACUAACAUCCCAAAACCAACAGUACAGUAUUUUGGCAUCUUGAAAUAAAACAUUGAUGUGUGGAGUAGUGAAAGGAACUGAGACACACACUCAACGUGGCACCAGCAUAACCAAAUAAAGCUGAACAAAACUGGAAUGUGUGAAUAUCAACUAGUCAUUAGAAAUAAAUCAUUAAUGUCAUUCAAUUAGAAUGUUUAUGUUGGUUUCGCAUUUGUAUAUGAAUUAUCCCACAUACUUUAAUGCACCUCUACUACGUUGGUUCCAUUCUUCACUAUAGGCCAAAGCUUCCCUUUGUCCAAUUUAGGAAGAUACAUAUAUAAUAAAAAUAAAUAUUAGGUUCCAGCCUUAGGAUUAUGCUGCUACAAGCUGCAAAUUUCAGUGAUCAAAUAGCCUUGUGUGCAAUAUUUCAAAGGCUAUAUCUUAAUCAAGUUUUUUUUUAAUUUGGUGGAAGAUCUGAAUAAAUACAAUUGAACUUAA